ACUCAAAUGAAUUGACGGGGGCCCGCACAAGCGGCGGAGCAUGCGGAUUAAUUCGAUGCAACGCGAAGAACCUUACCAAGGCUUGACAUACACCGGAAUCACUCAGAGAUGGGUGCGUCUUCGGACUGGUGUACAGGUGGUGCAUGGUUGUCGUCAGCUCGUGUCGUGAGAUGUUGGGUUAAGUCCCGCAACGAGCGCAACCCUCGUUCUAUGUUGCCAGCACGUCAUGGUGGGGACUCAUAGGAGACUGCCGGGGUCAACUCGGAGGAAGGUGGGGAUGACGUCAAAUCAUCAUGCCCCUUAUGUCUUGGGCUUCACGCAUGCUACAAUGGCCGGUACAAAGGGCUGCGAAACCGCGAGGUGGAGCGAAUCCCAAAAAACCGGUCUCAGUUCGGAUUGGGGUCUGCAACUCGACCCCAUGAAGUCGGAGUCGCUAGUAAUCGCAGAUCAGCAACGCUGCGGUGAAUACGUUCCCGGGCCUUGUACACACCGCCCGU
rnacentral:rRNA from 1 species